CUGGGAGCUGCCCCCGCCCCCGAGCCGCGAGCCCCGCGCCGGGCCGGGGAGUCCCCGGCGCCACACGCCCCCACCACCCCCAUCUUAGCGCCCCCCACCCUCUAUGGAGACAUUUCAACCAGGGAGAAGGGAAGUCCUGCCCUUGCCCCUCGCCCCCGCCCUGCUCCUCCAACAGGGGAGACUUCUGUCCAAACCUUGGAAAGAAACGAGAUGCCAGGCCUAGCGCCUUCGGGGAUCCUCUCUGGACAAGGCCACAGGGUGAAAACACCAGCACUUCCUGGAGGCGUUUGACCGGGACCUGGGAGGGCAGCUGAGAAGUGCCUGACCAUUCUCAAGGAGCUGCGUGGAUUCCAGACAUCUCUGGGCUGGUCUCUGGACCGGGAUGGGGGACCCAGAGGUGGAGCCGAACACACAAGCAGCACUUGAGGGCUCCGAGGGUGGCAAGGAGAGAAGUUCCUGCUCUGGUACAGCCCUGGGACCUUGAAAGGUGCUUCAACAGAGCGUCCACUCCCAGCGCCUAGCUCUGGGACCUUGAAUGGUGCUUUAACAGAGCGUCUGCUCCCAGCGCCAAGCCCUCAGUGCAGAGGGGGAGACUCAGGCGGCCCUCAGACACAAUUCGCCAAGGUCGCACAGCAAGUCAGGGUGCCGCUAAGACUAGGACCUACAGCUCUGCCUCCUGGCCCAGGCUCCUCAGCACCUGGGCCCCAGAGGACAGCCUGUGGGAGGCCCACAUGGCCACUGCACCAUGAACCAAGGACCUGGUCCGGGUCCACCUCCACCAAGUGCUGGCCGUGUGUCACUGGGGUCACUCCACUCUCUGCAUUAGGUCUCAGUCAUCCAAGACCAUCUUUCAAGGGCCGUCACUCCAAUUAUGAGUCUGGGAUUUUCUGAAAUUGAGCAUUUUGGCCAGGCUGUGGGGUCCCUCUAUGACUGCCUGUAAGACACUGCCAAGGGGACUUUCUUCCUUUCACCAGACUGAAGCUAAGAAGUGCUGGAGACAGCAGUUGCUUUAGCCACAGGCUGUGUAGACCACCUGAGGAUGACCUGGGGGUCUGUUUUGUGCACCUUGGAACCCAUCGGAUCCCUCCAAUGACACAUUUGUCCAGAGCAAGACAAGAUCACACUUUGACAGCCCUCUGUCAAGAUCCUUGCUCCAAAUCUCCAGACUAGCAGCCAGGAGUCUCCAUGCUGUUCUGAAGAAGCAGAUUCCUCACCCACCCUUCAACUCCUUCCCAGGAGGUAAUCCUCCUCCAAAUCUCUGGAAAAGAUACACCUCCUCUUCUCUGAUAAAGGCUGGGGGGUGAUGCCCCUCCCCCAGUUUCCCAAUAAAGCUAUGCAAGACAGGAGCAAGGGAUCUCACGGCCUGUUUUUGCUACAAAAACCCUUUUUCGGAAAAAAUAAUAAAGAAAGGAAUCAGCCAA
rnacentral:lncRNA from 1 species